UACGUAGGUUGCGAGCGUUAUCCGGAUUUAUUGGGCGUAAAGGGUGCGUAGGCGGAUUGGUAAGUCUGAUGUGAAAGUGUGGGGCUCAACCCCGUAUUGCGUUUGAUACUGCUAAACUAGAGUACUGGAGAGGGUGGCGGAACUUCAAGUGUAGCGGUGAAAUUCGUAGAUAUUUGUAGGAACGCCGAUGGUGAAGGCAGCCCACUGGACAGAUACUGACGCUGAUGCACGAAAGCGUGGGUAGCAAACAGG
rnacentral:rRNA from 1 species